rnacentral:rRNA from 1 species
CGGAGGGUCCAAGCGUUAUCCGGAAUCAUCGGGUUUAAAGGGUCCGUAGGCGGUUUUGUAAGUCAGUGGUGAAAGCCCAUCGCUCAACGGUGGAACGGCCAUUGAUACUGCAAGACUUGAAUUAUUAGGAAGUAACUAGAAUAUGUAGUGUAGCGGUGAAAUGCUUAGAGAUUACAUGGAAUACCAAUUGCGAAGGCAGGUUACUACUAAUAUAUUGACGCCGAUGGACGAAAGCGUGGGGAGCGAACAGGAUUAGAUGCCCUGGUAGUCCACGCCGUAAACGAUGGAUACUAGCUGUUCGGAGCAAUCUGAGUGGCUAAGCGAAAGUGAUAAGUAUCCCACCUGGGGAGUACGUUCGCAAGAAUG